rnacentral:tRNA from 1 species
GGAGGUGUAGCUCAGUGGUAGAGUACUUCCCUAGCAUGUAUGGGACCCUGGAUUCAAUCCCCUGUACUACCA